rnacentral:rRNA from 1 species
AAUAGAUACCCCGGUAGUCCACGCCGUAAACGAUGAGUGCUAAGUGUUAGAGGGUUUCCGCCCUUUAGUGCUGCAGCUAACGCAUUAAGCACUCCGCCUGGGGAGUACGGUCGCAAGACUGAAACUCAAAGGAAUUGACGGGGGCCCGCACAAGCGGUGGAGCAUGUGGUUUAAUUCGAAGCAACGCGAAGAACCUUACCAGGUCUUGACAUCCUCUGACAACUCUAGAGAUAGAGCGUUCCCCUUUGGGGGACAGAGUGACAGGUGGUGCAUGGUUGUCGUCAGCUCGUGUCGUGAGAUGUUGGGUUAAGUCCCGCAACGAGCGCAACCCUUGAUCUUAGUUGCCAGCAUUUAGUUGGGCACUCUAAGGUGACUGCCGGUGACAAACCGGAGGAAGGUGGGGAUGACGUCAAAUCAUCAUGCCCCUUAUGACCUGGGCUACACACGUGCUACAAUGGAUGGUACAAAGGGCUGCAAGACCGCGAGGUCAAGCCAAUCCCAUAAAACCAUUCUCAGUUCGGA